rnacentral:rRNA from 1 species
GAUGAACGCUAGCUACAGGCUUAACGCAUGCAAGUCGAGGGGUAACGAGAGGGAAGCUUGCUUUCCUUGUCGACGACCGGCGCACGGGUGAGUAACGCGUAUCCAACCUGCCCCCAACUAAGGAAUAACCUUGCGAAAGUAAGACUAAUACCUUAUAAUUUCCUCAGAUGACAUCUGACGAGGAAUAAAGAUUUAUCGGUUGUGGAUGGGGAUGCGUCUGAUUAGCUUGUUGGCGGGGUAACGGCCCACCAAGGCAAUGAUCAGUAGGGGUUCUGAGAGGAAGGUCCCCCACAUAGGAACUGAGACACGGUCCAAACUCCUACGGAAGGCAGCAGUGAAGAAUAUUGGUCAAUGGGCGGAAGCCUGAACCAGCCAAGUAGCGUGCAGGAUGACGGCCCUAUGGGUUGUAAACUGCUUUUAUACAGGAAUAAAGUUAGCCACGUGAGGUUAUUUGUAGGUACUGUAUGAAUAAGGACCGGCUAAUUCCGUGCCAGCAGCCGCGGUAA